AUGAACGCUGGCGGCGUGCUUAACACAUGCAAGUCGAACGGAAAGGCCAGUGCUUGCACUGGUACUCGAGUGGCGAACGGGUGAGUAACACGUGGGUGAUCUGCCCUGCACUUCGGGAUAAGCCUGGGAAACUGGGUCUAAUACCGGAUAGGACAAUGGUUUGGAUGCCGUUGUGGAAAGUUUUUUCGGUGUGGGAUGAGCUCGCGGCCUAUCAGCUUGUUGGUGGGGUAAUGGCCUACCAAGGCGUCGACGGGUAGCCGGCCUGAGAGGGUGUACGGCCACAUUGGGACUGAGAUACGGCCCAGACUCCUACGGGGGGCAGCAGUGGGGAAUAUUGCACAAUGGGCGCAAGCCUGAUGCAGCGACGCCGCGUGGGGGAUGACGGCCUUCGGGUUGUAAACUCCUUUCGCUAGGGACGAAGCGUAUUUGUGACGGUACCUGGAGAAGAAGCACCGGCUAACUACGUG
rnacentral:rRNA from 1 species